rnacentral:rRNA from 1 species
AUUGAACGCUGGCGGCAGGCUUAACACAUGCAAGUCGAGCGGAGGUGAGGUGCUUGCACCUUAUCUUAGCGGCGGACGGGUGAGUAAUGCUUAGGAAUCUGCCUAUUAGUGGGGGACAACAUUCCGGAAGGAAUGCUAAUACCGCAUACGUCCUACGGGAGAAAGCAGGGGAUCUUCGGACCUUGCGCUAAUAGAUGAGCCUAAGUUGGAUUAGCUAGUUGGUGGGGUAAAGGCCUACCAAGGCGACGAUCUGUAGCGGGUCUGAGAGGAUGAUCCGCCACACUGGGAUUGAGACACGGCCCAGACUCCUACGGGAGGCAGCAGUGGGGAAUAUUGGACAAUGGGGGGAACCCUGAUCCAGCCAUGCCGCGUGUGUGAAGAAGGCCUUAUGGUUGUAAAGCACUUUAAGCGAGGAGGAGGCUACUGAGACUAAUACUCUUGGAUAGUGGACGUUACUCGCAGAAUAAGCACCGGCUAACUCUGUGCCAGCAGCCGCAGUAACAC